rnacentral:lncRNA from 1 species
AAUAACAAAAUAAGAAAUUUCAUACAACUUUAAUAUUUUGGUUCUUCUAAUAAGUUGGACACCUGACAAAAUGAGAUUCUUUGUUACAAUUGCCUCAAUAAUUUCACAAUUUCUAUUUUGUGAAAAAAGAACUAAAAAUAAUUAAGGACCAUGAAGAUUUCUUUAAAUCCUCACCGUCAAGGAAUGUUUCGAAUCUCCUAUAUGUAGCACAUGUAAUCCUAAAAUAACUUUCAUGUUUCCAACUUCAUACACUACACUCAAAUGCUUGCAAGCAUCUAAGUUGAACUUAAACAACUCUUCACCUUGUGGUGUAAAAUGAAUCUUUUGGAAAUCCAACAAGUGCUUUUGAGGUGCAUUGUGAACUGAGGGUGGUGUAGUGAAUAACAAAACAGUAUGGCUUCCUUUCACUUUCUUGACAUUUUGAACUUUCAAGUGGAUAUCAUCAACAAUAGAGAGGAAAAAACUCUUUUUAUCAUGAGUAGGAGUCUUGUAAGGAUCCCAUACAUCAAGAUGUAUCAAUUCUAAGGAAAAUGACUUCUAGAGAAGCUAGUUGGAAAUACCAAUCUACUUUGCUUAGCUAAUGGACAUACUGGGCAAUCUGUAGUUGCAAAACUAUUUGAGUCUGUUUUCUAAAUCAACCCAAGUCUCUUCAUGACUUGUAAUGAAGGAUGACCUAGUCUUUGGUGCCAAAGUUCAGUAUCCCCUGCUUUAACUGAAGAAAGUUUGGCACUAUUAGUUGAGUACACAUCAUGAGACUUGACAAUGUACAAGAUUCCUUCCUCUUUACCAAUCCCCCUCACCCUACCAUUGUAAAGAUUCUGAAAUAUACAAAAGUUAGGGAAAAUGUGACAGAGCAGGACAUGCUCUUGGUUAGUUUGGAAACUGAUAUCAAGUUGAAUUUAAAGUCUGGGACACAUAAAACAUUGUCAACCUUCAGGCCUUCUAGGAACUCAGUAAUUUUCUAUAUGAGUGAUAUUAGACUUUCCACCAUUUGGUAAGUGAAUCUGUUGAUUACUAGAACAGUGAAUCUCAAUUGGAUCAUUUAGCAUGCCCAGAUUAGAUGCAACAUGAUGAGUGGCACCAGAAUCUAUGAUCCAUUCCUUUGAACUUUGAAGAGAAUGCAGUUAAUAGAGAUGUAACAGUACCUGCCAGGUUGUGCUGGUCUAUAUGCUCAUUCUUAUCAUUCAUCAUUUCCUGAAUCUGCUUGUAUUGUUCAUCUGAAAACAUAGGACCACUUCUCCCAUAUAAUUGUUCCAGUUGUUUGUAUUGUUCAUCUGUGAAGGCCUGAUUACCAGCUCCAUUCUUCAUUGAGCAGCUCCCUUCAUUUUCAACUGCAUAGUGUCUCCUAUCAUCACUCACAACAUUAUUUGCAUUGAAGUUCUCCUAUCUCUCAAAAUGUGGAUUGUAUUGUUUGUUGUUAUUAUUUGCAGCAUAGUUCUUCUUCCUGAAGUCAUCAUCAGGAACCCUUUUUUGUUCUUCUGGACGACCAAUUAACCAGUAGCAAUCUGCUUUCACGUGUCCUCCUCGUCCACAAUUAUCACACUUGACAAAGGGCUUCUUACCUCUAUAAGGUUGGCCUCUAUUGAUUUUCAAGGCAAGAGGUUCAUGGACAUGAUCUUUGGCUUUCAUCUUCUCUAAGCAUUGCAUAUGCUUGAUUUAGUGAUGGUUCAACAGUUUUGAGCAACAAUUGCCUGCGUACUUGCUCAUAAGAGUCAUUCAAACCAUUAAGAAACUGCAGUAAUCUCUGGCCCUGUAAGUGUUUAAUGUAAUCCCUAGAUUUCACGUAAUUACAUCCAGGUGUGGGAACCACAUCAUCAUAUUCAGCCCAAAGUUCUCUCAGACUUGUAAAAUACGUAGAUACAGAAUCAGUUACUUGUGAUAUCGUCGCGAUCUCUUGAUGUAACUGGAAAAUUCAAAUUCUAUUUACCUUAUCGAAUCUCUUCUUCAGAUCCUCUCAUACAAGAUGCGCAUUUGACGAAUACACGAUCCUACUAAGAAGAUGUGCAGAAACUGUAUUCAUGAUCCUGGACAGGACAAUUGCAUUGCAGGUCUCCCAAUCUUCAUGUAGAUCAGUACCGAAUUGAUCCUUCUUACAGGUCCCAUUAACAAAUCCCAAUUUUCUUUUUGCUAGCAAGGCAAUCGUCAUAGAUCGUCUCCGUAACCCGUAAUUUUUAGAUCCGGUUAAUUUUGUGGGAAUUAACACUGAUUCUGGAGUAUCUGACGGAUGAACAAACAAUAAAUGAAUGUGUAUUAUUAAUUUUCUCAGCAGUUACCUGAGUCUGUCGAUCUUCAGCUGCUUUUGUUCAUGAGUUUCCAGCCAUUUGUAAUCGCAAUUGAAAAUCCUAUUUGAUUUGAGCGUAUGAUCCAAGUCACGACUGCUCUGAUACCAUGUCAAUUUUCAUACUUAGCUUGUGAGUUCAAGCUCUAUUUUAAUUUUGUGGGAAUUAACACUGAUUCUGGAGUAUCUGGCGAAUGAACAAACAAUGAAUGAAUGUGUAUUAUUGAUUUUCUCAGCAGUUACCUGAGUCUGUCGAUCUUCAACUGCUUUUGUUCAUGAGUUUCCAGCCAUUUGUAAUCGCAAUUGAAAAUCCUAUUUGAUUUAAGCGUAUGAUCCAAGUCACGACUGCUCUGAUACCAUGUCAGUUUUCAUACUUAGCUUGUGAGUUCAAGAUCUAUUAAUGGCGGAAGUGUGUUUGAGAGAAGAUAAAAAGGAGAAUAUUAUUUCGUAUUGGUCUAACUCUUCUGUACAACCACAUGCAAGUAUUUAUAGUGUGAUCAACUAAUCAUCACCACUAGAUACAGCUCAGCAUCAAAGUCAGUUAUUAGUCUAACUAACUUUGAUCUUCCACUAACUAAGGCUAACAACUAAUUAACAAAAAAGGUCAGCCUAACUAACUAACUAACUUCCUUCAAUACGGAUAUAUUGAUUGUUUUGGUAAACAACUGUAAAAGAUUACCAUUACCAUCAAAAUUCGUACAAAUAAAGAGCACCUAUGCCUUGUAACAAGGAUUAGGCCUCCUACAAAGCAAAAAACUUAAUUACAAAGUAAAAGUUGAACAAAACUCCUACAACUCUGUGUUUUCUUUGAACUACUAAGAAAUUAUAAUCUCUCUAUAAUCUCCUUUUUGAUCUGUGUUGCCGCCUCCUUUAUAUGUACAGACUUGCCUUUGAACUUUUUCCAAUUCCUGGCUCUCCAUAUGUGAUAUACGAUUGCUCCACAAGUAGCCGCAAUAGUCUCCUUCUUAACUUUCUUCCAGUGCUUCAACCUUAUUCUUUCCAGUGUCUGCUUGAUCCCAUUGAUUUGCAACGCUAUUCCUGUCCAUUUUUCCACCUCUUUCCAUAUAGCCUGUGCCCACUCACACUUCACAAAUAAGUGUAUUGUAGUCUCCAUGACCUUCUUAUCACAAAGGCAGCAAUCAGUGUCCUCCACCUGAAUGUGUAAUUUCAGUUUCCUCUCCUGCGUGAGUAAUCUUCCUUGUACAGCCAACCACGUUAUGAAUCUAUGUUUAGGUAGAGCCAUAGAUGUCCACGCUAGCUCAGCAGUUCUCAUACGUGGUUGUUGGCCAAUCAGUGCUAAGUAACUGCUAGUGAUGGAAUAUUUUCCAGUUUGUGUGAGCAUGUAUCUUCCUUGGUUAUACCAACCCCGCAUUUGGACCUUGAUUGCAUUUAGCUGCCUCCAAUACCAGCUACAAUCUACAGGUGUAUUAUGUUUCCAUAUUGUUGCUCCAUCUUUCAUAUAUAUCCCAUGUAUCCACUUUACCCAUAGGGACUCCUUUUCCUCAAUUAUUGCCAUAACAAUUUCCUACUGAUGCAAUAUUCCAGAUGCUGCUACUUUUGAUAUUUAAUCCACCUUGUCUCUUUGGAUAACAGAUUUUUUCCCAAGAUACUAGAGCUAUCUUUCUCUUAUCAUUAGCUUUGCUCCACAAGUAAGUCCUACAAAUCUUGUCUACUUCUUUAAGUAUGCUUUGGGGUAGGAUAAACACUGCCCCCCAAAAACUAUGGAUGGAAAAUAAUACUGCAUUUAUCACCUGCAGUCUACCAGCAUAGGAUAGUUGUUUUGAAUAAGUCACGGUAAUUCUGUGAGUAAUCUUAUCAAUCAGUAAGAAGCAAUCAACUUUAUUCCACUUUCUUGGCGAUAGUGGAAGUCCCAAAUAUUUAAUAGGAAAUUCACCCCUCGAGAAACCGGUUCUAGCCAAGAUCUGAUCCCUUGUUUCCUCAUCCACACCAGCCAUAAAAACACUUGAUUUUUCCAUGUUAGCCUCCAAACCUGUGGCAGCACUAAAGAGAUUUAAUGCCUCCAUCACUCUAUUUACUGAAGCCAAAUUUCCUUUACAAAAAAUCAUUAAGUCAUCAGCAAAUAUUAGAUGAGUGAGUUUCAACUCUUUGCACAUUGGAUGGAGUCCAAAAUCAGGCAACAGACUCAUUGUUUUAAGUGUUCUUGACAAGUACUCCAUUACUAACACAAACAACAAAGGCGAUAUAGGAUCUCCUUGCUUAAGACCUCUCUUACCAGCAAAGAAACCAUGAUUCCCUCCAUUGACUUUUACUGAAAACAUUGUAGUGGAAACACAUAGCAUAGUCCACUUAAUAAACUUUUCUGGAAACCCAAAACCUCUAAGUACUUCCUCUAAAACCUCCCAACUUACCAUGUCAUAGGCUUUCUUCAAAUCAAUUUUCAUAAGACACCUAGGUGAGGCAUUCUUCCUAUUGUAGUGUCUUAGAAUAUCGUGACAAAUCAAAACAUUAUGCAUCAUUGCUCUUCCCUGGACAAAUGCUGAUUGGUUUUUUGCUACUAUCAGAUUCACUGCUUUCUUCAAUCUGCUACAAAUCAAUUUUGAUAUGCACUUGUAUAUGACAUUACAACAAGAUAUUGGUCUAAAUUGACUGGCAAAUUCAGGUACCUCUAUCUUUGGGAUGAGUGCAAUACUUGUUGAAUUGAUUUGUCUUAGUAACUUGCUGUUUUGGAAGAAUUCCAGCACUGGCGUAGUAACAUCUUGCCCCACAAUAGACCAAGCUGCUUUGUAAAAUCCACUACUAAAUCCAUCUGGUCCAGGACUUUUAUUACUAUCAAUCUGAAACAUUGAUGUCUUUACUGCUGCUGGUUCAAACCUAUGCACUAGUUCACUCUGUUGCUCCUCAUUAAGCACCACCCCAUGACUCAUCAAUUCUCCUAUUGCUGGUAUUCUCUGCAGGGACUUCUUUCCCAGGAUAUCCUCAUAAUAUUCCACAAUUACUUUUGCAAUACUAGUAGGAUCAUAUUGCCAUUCUCCUGAUGAAUUUUUCAGUUGAGUUGUAGCAUGCUUCAGCUUCCUAUGCUUAAUAACUGAAUAAAAGUACCUAGUAUUAUCAUCACCCAACCUUAUCCAUGUUGCUUUGCUCCUUUGUUGUAAAAAUACUUCAGCCAGAUAAGAAGAGGUUCUAAAUUUCUCAUACAACUGGCUUUCCAACUGUUGAUAAUCCAAGUUGUGCGGGUUACUCUGCAAUUGUAGUUGUGCUUGUUUCCGUUUUUCUCUAUCUCCAUUGGCUUCAUUCACUAUGUUCUGGAAAGACUGUGAGUGUAGCACCUUCAGCUUUCUCUUUAACAACUUCAAUCUUCUCACCACUUUGUACAUCAUACAACCUUCUAUAUUUUCAUCCCAUCCUUCAUUCACAACAGAUUGGAAUUGUCAACGUUUGGCCCGCACAUUACAAAACUGAAAUGGCUUCCUGGUUCUGCAUUCUUCUGUUAAGAUUACUUUUGCUGGACAGUGGUCACUAAUGUUAAGAAUUCAUCACCAACUUAAUUCUUUACUUAAGAUAAAUCAAGAAAAAUCUAGAAUAUUCCGGAGGUGUAGAGAAUUGAAGGAAGAUCUCUAGAAUGAGUAUUCUAGAAAGAAUAGUCUAGAAAUGUUCUAGAAAGAAUAGUUCUAGAAAAAGAUAGUUAGGAAUAUUCUAGAAUAGAGUAGUAUGUAUCUCUCUAGAUUCUUCCAUCACCUCCUAUAAAUAGAGGUGGUCCAUUUGAGUUGUACGCAAUCAAGAAAGAAAGCAAGAAACAAAGUAAGAAAGCAAGAAAGAAAGUAAGAGAGAAAACAAGAGUGAGUGCUAAGUCAAGAGUGUUGCUGAAGCAAGCAACAAGUGUGAUCAAGAUUGUAAGACCGAAGCGGGUCCUUACUUUGAUAUAAUAAAAUUCAAGUUGUGAGAAAUCNNNNNNNNNNNNNNNNNNNNNNNNNNNNNNNNNNNNNNNNNNNNNNNNNNNNNNNNNNNNNNNNNNNNNNNNNNNNNNNNNNNNNNNNNNNNNNNNNNNNNNNNNNNNNNNNNNNNNNNNNNNNNNNNNNNNNNNNNNNNNNNNNNNNNNNNNNNNNNNNNNNNNNNNNNNNNNNNNNNNNNNCCAUUUGAGUUGUAAGCAAUCAAGAAAGAAAGCAAGAAACAAAGCAAGAAAGCAAGAAAGAAAGUAAGAGAGAAAACAAGAGUGAGUGCUAAGUCAAGAGUGUUGCUGAAGCAAGCAACAAGUGUGAUCAAGAUUGUAAGACCGAAGCGGGUCCUUACUUUGAUAUAAUAAAAUUCAAGUUGUGAGAAAUCGAUUGUGCCCGUCGUCUCCAAACCAAUAAUAUUCAACAAUUAAUACCCUCAGGUAAGAAUAACGCCUUACAUGUAGGCAUUGCAUCUAGCCAUUCUCUGUUAAUAAAAAUCCAAUCAAUUUUUGAAAAUUUUUUGUUUCCAUCAUGUUUAUCACUCCACGUAUAUCUACUACCAUGAGUAGGAAAUUCUAUCAAACCACAUUCAAGAACACAUUCAUUGAACUCCAUAAUUUCUGCCCAAACUACUGGAUUUCCUCCUAUUCUAUCAUCAGUCUUCAGUAGGGAAUUGAAGUCACCUAACACCAUCCAUGGUUUUGUACAUUUUAGACUUUGGAGUAUCAGACUUUCCCAUAAAUCCCUCCUAUCUUCCCUGCUAUUAAAAGCAUACACAUAUGUUAUCUCAAAGGAGAGUUGAAGUGGGAUAAACACUACCUCACAUGUUAUCAGUUGUGUUGUUUUGUUGAUGGGUUUUACACAAUAGUAGUCAGGAUUCCAUGUCAGCCAUAUUCUACCAUUGUAGUGAUUUUCCAAGUUGGUAGUGUACUACCAACCUGCAAACAUACUCGCAGCCACAAGUUCUAUUCUUCCACUCUUUAUUUUAGUUUCUAGUAAGCCAACCAGACUCACAUUUUCUUCAUUGCAAAGGAUCUUCACUUCCUUUUGCUUAUUGGGAGCGUUAAGCCCCCUUACAUUCCAGCUAGUAAAUUAACCACCAGACCCUAUUAUGGCCUGGCCACCCAUAAUCACUCUACUCCUUCCUUUUUCAUUAUUGUUCUGCAAUAUUUGAUAGGAAUUUGCACUUUCAAUCUGAGUUGAUCUUCUUGGAGGUGAUAUCUUCCCUGCUCGUGUAGGAGUUUGCCAUCCUUCCUUUCUACUGUUUAUCUCUUCAUCACUCUGUUUUGCUCUAGUGUUACUCACUAUCACUAUCCCUUCUUGUCGUGCUACAACUACUUUAGCUAGUUGUUGAUUAGGACUAUUUUGUACCUGUACAUUUACCCUGUCUUGUGGCAAUGGAACAGGUUUGGGAACCUUUCUCUUCACUCUACAUACCUCCUCCUCAUGACCAUAUUUAUUACAAAACUUGCAUAGUGUUGGUUUCCAAUCAUACUGAACCUGAUGCACAAUGAUUUUCCCUUUUUCAUUGAUUGUUAUUUCGGCUUAAUUUAUCUUGAUGAAUUCAUUGCGUGUGAUUUCCUGAAGAAGUAUAUUUUGUGGAUUCACAGUGAUUUGUGAAGUUGAGUGGUUUUGGACUUUCUGACUAACUUCUAGUCAUAUGCACUUAGAAGGAUACCAGGUAUCAGGUAUUUAAGUCGAGAUUACACUAAACAAUGAGGUGAUAUUUUUUAUCAGAUCAUUCGUACUAGAUUUUAGAAUACUUAUAUAUGUAAUCUAAUUAAAUGUUUUCUUAGCCCCCAUAGUAUAUCAAUUAAUAACAUUUUGAGUCCUAUAUUUAUCUUUUCUUUAUUUGUCCAUUUUCAUCACAUUUGUUUUAAUAUUUUUAUAUCUAUAACUCAUUUAUUUAUUUUCUACUCUUCUAUUUUCAUCUAUAUAAACUCAUAUUUUUGGUUUCAUAUGAUUCUAUCCAAGGAGCAAUCCUAUUAGAACGUGGAAAAGGAAUCCUUUUACAAUGACAAAACCAACAAAAAAAAGUAGUCCAAUUCUAUUAGGAAUCAAAUUCUAUUUCUUCAACUAUAAAAUAACUAGUUCGUUCCCCGGAACAAGCUUUCAUUAUGUUCUUUCUCUGGAUCACAGCCUACCAAACUAAAGUGACUUUGUUUGAUUUACUGCAAUCUGUCUUGCAAUGGAGGAAAUACUUAUAGACAUUUUGAAAAGGCCACUGGUGAAGUCACUUAUUCGUUUCAAUUGCGUCUCAAACUUUUGGAACACAUUAAUCUCUCAACCUUAUUUUAAGAAGAAGCAUCUCAAUCAUUCCAAAAGUCAAGUCAGUUCCCAAAAAUUGCUUUUUGUCCGGUGCGAUCCUAACUGUCAAUUCUGGUCUGGUUCCUUAUCCUUAAUUCCCAUUGAUUGCACUUCAAAUUCUAAUCCAAAAGAUGGUAUAAAAAUGUAUUCUAGUUGUGACGGCUUGUUUCUCAUCGGAAUUUGGACCGACCGUUAUGCCGAACAACCUUCCAUAUUAGUCAUAUGGAACCCUUCCACUAGACAAUCAAUAUGACUUCCCCAUUCUAAAUUUUCACUUCAGAUGGGAGAUCAACAUCACAAUCACAAUGAACAUAUAGAAAAUGACAACGAAAAUAUGGGAAAUUACUCUAAUAGUAUCAGUGAUGAUGAUGAUGAUAGGGGAUUUACUUAUGGAUUGGCUUAUGACUCUAAAAAUCAUGAACAGAUAGAAGAUGACGAUGAAAAGAUGGGAAAUUACUCUAAUAGUAUCAGUGACGAUGAUGAUGAUGAUGAUGAUAGGGGAUCUACUAAUGGAUUGGCUAAUAAUGACUCUAAAAAUUCAUGAACAGAUAGAAGAUGACGAUGAAAAGAUGGGAAAUUACUCUAGUAGUAUCAGUGAUUAUGAUGAUGAUAGGGGAACUACUUAUGGAUUGGCUUAUGACUCUAAACGUGAAGAUUAUAAAGUCUUAAUGAUUGACAUGUGUGGGAAUAACGACAAUGAAAUUCUCGCACUGAAAAAUGGUUCCUGGAAAAUAAUUGAUCGUAAAACCUCUGGCAGGACAGAUAGUGGUUUGUUGUGUGGUGGAGAACUUUUUGGCAUUUGUAGAUGGAGCAUUUCAUUGGCUUGGUUUCUUAUCAAAGGUUUGUGUGGUUUCAUUUAAUAUUUCAGAUGAAAUAUACGGAGAGAUAUCAUUGCCAGAGAUAGUAAGCUCCGAACUCACUCUAUUCAAGUUUGAUAACGUUGAAGUUCAUGUGGGACUAUCAAUAUUGAGAGAAAUGUUUCAUCGACAAAGAUUUUAGUUUAUGGGUAAUGAAAAAGUAUGAUAUUGAAGAUUCUUGGAUGAAAUUGUUCACUAUACCGAUUUUAGUUUAUGGGUAAUGAAAAAGUAUAAUAUUGAAGAUUCUUGGAUGAAAUUGUUCACUAUACCGAUGAAGUAUUACUGUGAAUUGGGUGACACCGGAACAUGUGGAAACAUCAUAGGUAUGUAAGAUAAUAUCUGGUGGCCAAUAUCGAAUGAUUUCUCAAGAUUAUGAUAUUGAUGCGAUUACAGUUAAUCGGGAGGGUUUUGCUUAUACCGAAACUCUCACGGACAUUAAAUUAUAUUAAAUGUUUAGGAAAUUUUUGGUUCCAAAUUGAUCUUGUUUUUUUUUAUUUACUAUUCUUUGCUAAGAAAGAAUUGAUCUAUAUUUUUCUUUUACCUGCUGUUUCUCUGCUGCUUUUAUCCGUAUGAAAGUUCCUUUUUUGUCGGGGAUUGUUUGAGUGAUUAGGAAAAAUAAUGUAUGCAUUAAUUUUGUGUAUUAUUAGUAUUUUGCGUGGUACUCUUUCAUAAUCUAUGUAUUAAUAGUUCCUUCUUUGUCUGGGAUCGUUUGAGUUAUUAGGAAAAAUAAUGCAUGCGUUAAUUUUGUUUAUUAUUAGUACCUUGUUUGGUUCUCUUUCCUAAUCUAUGUAUUAGUUAUUGUGUAUUAAGGUGGGCAUAUAUCAUGGAUUUCUAGGUAUUAGCAAUGCAAUGGUUUUUAUGCAUGCAUUAACUUAAUUAAAGACUCAAUGACCCCUCAAAACUUUUUUUACAUCUUUUCCACCAUAAUUGUGGAGGGCUUUGUGAAUAACGUUUAAUGUAAUUUUUCAACGAUACUCAUAAAACUAGAAUUCAACUUUAAGUAUACAAUGUAAUUUUUCGACGAAGGGAGUUCGAGUGACCCUCUUGAGCUCCACAUAGCUCCGACCCUGAGCCCAGGUUGAGCGCUUCACCUUGCUUAAUUAGCGUGUUAGUGUAGCUUGUAGAAGCCAAGGUGUUAAGGCAUGUGCACCUUCACCAACGAGUUCUGCCUUUGAGAAUACAACAACAUACCCAGUGUGUUCCUACAAGUGAGAUACAACACCAUAUAUAUAGUUAUAUUAUAGUUUUACCACUCUUUUGUCCGAAUAGUUAUUAUCUGUUUUUGUAGAUACAUAUUCUUGCAUUACAUUUGUAUUUUUUAUUUUCUCACUUGGCAUUUUUUCCCCAUAAAGUCCACACUUUAAUGGCACUUUGCACUUAACGGUUCAACUAUACUGGACUUCUUUACACACAUAUAUAUGGAGGUUGUAUUUUGUCUACAAACUAUAUAUAUAUAUAUAGUUAAAGGUAGGUACACCUUUUGAAAGCUAUUUUACAAUACUUAUUAGUAACAUAUUCAGUGUAAUAUCACUAAGUGUAGUCUGGAGAUAGUAGAGUGUUAACCUUCCUUUAAAUCAUUUCUAUUCAAUAUAUAGGGAUGUCAAGAAAAAUAAAAUAGCAGAGAGAAGGAAUAAUAACAAAAUAAGAAGCUUCAUACAACUUAAAUAUUGUGUUUCUUCUACAUAUGUUGAACACCUUGACAAAAUGAGAUACUUUGUUACAAUUGCCUCAACAUAUUGAUAAUUUGAGAAUUUCCAUGUGGUAGUUUCCCUUUUCCCUUUUGAGAAAAAAAGAAGUUAAAAUAAUUAAGGACUAUGAGGAUUUCUUUAAAUCCUCAGAGUCAAGGAAUGUUUCAAAUCUCCUAUAUGUAGCACAUGUAAUCCUAAAGCAACUUUCCUGUUUCCAACUUCAUCAACUACACUCAAAUGCUUGCAAACAUCUAAGUUGAACUUAACAACUCCUUCACUCUGUGGUGUCAAAUGAAUCUUUUGGAAAUCCAACAAGUGCUUUUGAG